AGCGAACGCUGGCGGCAGGCCUAACACAUGCAAGUCGAACGAACCCUUCGGGGUUAGUGGCGGACGGGUGAGUAACACGUGGGAACGUGCCUCUAGGUUCGGAAUAACUCAGGGAAACUCGUGCUAAUACCGAAUGUGCCCUUCGGGGGAAAGAUUUAUCGCCUUUAGAGCGGCCCGCGUCUGAUUAGCUAGUUGGUGAGGUAAAGGCUCAGCAAGGCUACGAUCAGUAGCUGGUCUGAGAGGAUGACCAGCCACAUUGGGACUGAGACACGGCCCAAACUCCUACGGGGGGCAGCAGUGGGGAAUCUUGCGCAAUGGGCGAAAGCCUGGCGCAGCCAUGCCGCGUGAAUGAUGAAGGUCUUAGGAUUGUAAAAUUCUUUCACUGGGGACGAUAAUGACGGUACCCGGAGAAGAAGCCCCGGCUAACUUCGUGCCAGCAGCCGCGGUAAUAC
rnacentral:rRNA from 1 species